CACGCACUGAAUUGAAACAGGAAGGGACAAUGAUGGGCGUAGCUCACAGGUGUGCAGAAACCAGCAUCUCAGGUUUCACCUGCUACACCCUGAAGCCUCCAAUCAGAGCCAGCACAUUUGAUGGGCCCUCCCAGAGCCUUUAAUGGACAAAUUCCCCGUAUAUUUAAGUGCAAUUGACUCCGCCCUCUUCCUGUUGAGCUCUCGUCAGCGGUUGCAGAUGGUUUCACACCUUCACUGUCCAACCUGUGGGGAUCCAGCUUUCCUGUAAGUAGCAUCAAGACUUUGGAACACAUUCUCUGUCCAUUCACUGCAUAGAGAUUAAAGGUUUUUAUUAAAGCAGCUAAAGGCACAUUUUUGAUUGGCAGGCCUUUGUUCAAAUGCAUUUCCUGUUUUACAUUGUAUUUUAUCUUUCUCUUUUAACUAAUUUUACUCGUUAUUUAUAUUUGUUUUUGUUCUUUGUUUAACUGUGAAUCUGUUUUUUUCCCUCUGUGAAAAUAAAUAAAAUACAUACAUAAAUAAUUUUCUUCAGUCUCAUAAUAAGCUGGGGAAGAUGUUUUUUAAUGUGUCACAAAUGAAUCUCCAAAGAAAAUAACUGUUCAUAAAGCUGUGGUUAAAAAAAAAAAAAAAAACUUAUAAAAUGAUAAAAUAUGCAAUACAUCAGUA